AGAGUGCGUAAUAGCUCACUAGUCGAGAGGUCCUGCGCCGAAAAUGUCCGGGGCUAAAACACGACACCGAAGCUGUGGAAAUGAGUAUGUUCUACGGGGCAUACCGUUUGGUAGAGGAGCAUUCUUAGAACGACGAAGCUGUACCGUAAGGAGCAGUGGAGAUCUAGGAAGAGAGAAUGCCGGAAUGAGUAGCGAGAUAGAAGUGAGAAUCUUCUAGGCCGAAUAUCUAAGGUUUCCAGAGUAAAGCUGAUCUGCUCUGGGUAAGUCGGGGCCUAAGGCGAGGUCGAAAGACGUAGUCGAUGGAUAACAGGUUGAGAUUCCUGUACCUUAUAGGAACAGAACUGUGGGGACGCAGAGUGAAAGCCAGAGCCGGGAAUGGAAAGACCGGUACAAGCGAGGUACCAGACUGAUAGGCAAAUCCGUCAGUCAAUGGGAAGACGUGACGUGGACCGAAAUUUAAGUAGGGAAGCUGGUGAGCAAGCUGCCAAGAAAAGCCGCUAUUGUUUUCUAUAAGCCCGUACCGUAAACCGACACAGGUGGAUGAGGAGAGAAUCCUAAGGCCGACGGGAGAAGCAUUGUUAAGGAACUCGGCAAAAUGACCCCGUAACUUCGGGAGAAGGGGUGCCUGAGAAAUCAGGCCGCAGAGAAAUGGCCCAAGCAACUGUUUAGCAAAAACACAGGUCUAUGCAAAACCGUAAGGUGAAGUAUAUGGGCUGACGCCUGCCCGGUGCUGGAAGGUUAAGGGGAGAUGUUAGCGUAAGCGAAGCGUUGAACUUAAGCCCCAGUAAACGGCGGCCGUAACUAUAACGGUCCUAAGGUAGCGAAAUUCCUUGUCGGGUAAGUUCCGACCCGCACGAAAGGCGUAAUGAUUUGGGCACUGUCUCGACAAUGCACCCGGUGAAAUUGAAAUACCAGUGAAGAUGCUGGUUACCCGCGCCAGGACGGAAAGACCCCAUGGAGCUUUACUCUAGCUUGAUACUGGGAUCCGGUGAUGCAUGCACAGGAUAGGUGGGAGGCAUUGAAUUCGUAAUUCCGGUUGCGAAGGAGCCAAUGUUGGGAUACCACCCUUGUGUUACUGGAUUUCUAACAUUCAGCCGUGAUCCGGCUGGUGGACAAUGUCAGGCGGGGAGUUUGACUGGGGCGGUCGCCUCCGAAAGGGUAUCGGAGGCGCUCAAAGGU
rnacentral:rRNA from 1 species